UACGUAGGGUGCGAGCGUUGUCCGGAAUUAUUGGGCGUAAAGAGCUUGUAGGCGGUCUGUCGCGUCUGCUGUGAAAAAUCCGGGGCUCAACCCCGGACUUGCAGUGGGUACGGGCAGACUAGAGUGUGGUAGGGGGAGACUGGAAUUCCUGGUGUAGCGGUGAAAUGCGCAGAUAUCAGGAGGAACACCGAUGGCGAAGGCAGGUCUCUGGGCCACUACUGACGC
rnacentral:rRNA from 1 species